AGUGAACGCUGGCGGUAGGCCUAACACAUGCAAGUCGAACGGCAGCACAGUAAGAGCUUGCUCUUACGGGUGGCGAGUGGCGGACGGGUGAGGAAUACAUCGGAAUCUACUUUUUCGUGGGGGAUAACGUAGGGAAACUUACGCUAAUACCGCAUACGACCUACGGGUGAAAGCAGGGGAUCUUCGGACCUUGCGCGAUUGAAUGAGCCGAUGUCGGAUUAGCUAGUUGGCGGGGUAAAGGCCGACCAAGGCAACGAUCCGUAGCUGGUCUGAGAGGAUGAUCAGCCACACUGGAACUGGGACACGGUCCAGACUCCUACGGGAGGAAGCAGUGGGGAAUAUUGGACAAUGGGCGCAAGCCUGAUCCAGCCAUACCGCGUGGGUGAAGAAGGCCUUCGGGUUGUAAAGCCCUUUUGUUGGGAAAGAAAAGCAGCAGGUUAAUACCCCGCUGUUCUGACGGUACCCAAAGAAUAAGCACCGGCUAACUUCGUG
rnacentral:rRNA from 1 species